UACAGAGGGGGCAAGCGUUGUUCGGAAUUACUGGGCGUAAAGGGCGCGUAGGCGGCCUGUUAAGUCGGACGUGAAAUCCCUCGGCUCAACCGGGGAACUGCGUCCGAUACUGGCGGGCUUGAAUUCGGGAGAGGGAUGUGGAAUUCCAGGUGUAGCGGUGAAAUGCGUAGAUAUCUGGAGGAACACCGGUGGCGAAGGCGGCAUCCUGGACCGACAUUGACGCUGAGGUGCGAAAGCGUGGGGAGCAAACAGG
rnacentral:rRNA from 1 species